ensembl:lncRNA
GGGGCGCUGGGAUACGGGGAGGGGGCAGAGGAGGUCCUGCACGACAGCGUGGACUGUUCCCUCCGUGCUCAAGCGGCGGCAGGUCGGCGCCCGUAUCAGCGAGCGGAGGCGACUGCGACCUCUGGGCUGCCCCACAAGGCGGGCAAGGUCACCGUCACCGUGGAAACGUCAUGAGCUGGAGGUCUGGCGACAGGAUUCAUCCGAAUUGAGGUACCGCAAAAUCCCAGCGACAGUCGGGACGGUUUACCUGCGGGGCCUAGCAGCACCUUCUGCUUUUCAGGAACAGAGGGUCAAAGGCUCAUAGGUGCCCAGCCUGCAAAAAUUGCUUGAAUUGAAAGGCUGAAUUAGAAGGUGUUAGCAUGUUGCUAACGUUGACUGGAGAUGGGUGGGUAAUAUGGAAGUGGGUUUUUACUUGCUGUUUUUUUUUUUUCAAUGAAAGUUAGACUUUUCUUUCCCAGAUAGACCGGUUUCUGUAAGGAAAUGGCUUCGGGGUCACUUUUUAUAUCCGUUUUCUCCAUUUUGUAUCUUCAAUUCACUGCAAGUAAGGAAGACGACGUAUGCACACACAUACAACACGUAUACAGAAUCACACUCCACACACAUGCGUACAUUUUCUUUUAUGAUUUACUUUCCAAACUUCUCUGUCUUUGAAUCCAGCUGAGCAUGUGUCUGCCCAGUCACUAGCAGAUUAAUUUACUUGAUUAAUCCUUGCAGUUUGAAACCCAUUGCUAUUGAAAAGUCGGUUUAUUGUAUUAUAACGAGGCUAGAUGGACUGUUGUUUAAGCAAAAUAAACCUUUCUUUGAAACAUAUAGAUAGAGAUUACACAUGAUCUGUUGAGGAUGAAGGGAAGACUGUUAAUGUGUAGUUAUGAAUUGUACAACAGAAAUACUUUCUAGAUUUAUUUAUCAUUGGUUGCAUUGACUGUUGACCACAUUGAGGGUUCCAAUAUUUUUAAAUGUACUUAUUCGUUUUAUAAAUCACUGCCAAAUUGUGCAGUUCCACAACGUGUUUUCAUGGUGAUUAGAGACAUAAUUUAUUGGUUCUGUGAAUUAUGGCAUUAAUAAGCAUUUUGCCUUUAACAAAUAUUUUGUUUACUAUCGCCCAUAUACAACUUUUGGUUUGGUAGUGACACUACGCUAUCAGGUCAGCUUUAGGUUGCUUUUCUUUUUUAUUUCAGAGGCAAUAAUGAAAGCACUUACGGGAGAGAAACAACAACUCUACAUAUUUAAAGUACAUGUCUUUAGCACACUGUGUCUUUCCUCCCUCAUUCAAGAUGGCCGAACUGAAAAGAAAGACUAAACAAAACAAAAGAUCUACUUGGGUGACAGAGCUUUAUAACGGAACUACAAUCCCUCUUCGUUUUGACUGUUAUUCAAACGUAUUGUGUCAAAGUUACCUUUGUAAUAGCUUAGUUAGGGGAUCUUCAACCUAAUCUCAACUCUUUAAGAGCCCCUCCCCCUCCACCGUGAUGAUGGACUGUUUUUGUGAGGCAGGAACUGUUUAUAAAGCGGGCAUUCUUAGCGCGGCUUUCACCCACAUAUACCACAUGAAUGUAUAUGCAUUUGCAAUGACAAGAAGAGAGACUGUUUACGAUCAAACUUGUUUGGCAUGUGAAAUCUUCACAGAGGAUACUCGGAAAGCCAUCCUGACUGUGCUUAUUGUGAUCUUUUUCGUAGGAUUAUGUUUCACGGAAGACAAAGUGGUCUGAUCUACCAUGUACUUGUGGUCAUGCUCUUAACAUAUGAAACAUGAUUGAUAUCUUUUUUUGUUUAAGAACUUAGCUGAUUGAUUUCCACAGGUAAAACGUGCAGACAAUGAAAUUGUAAAAAAAGAGCAUUCGUGUUACAAUAUUUAAUGUGGCUCCUUGAAAACAAACAUACAUGCAGCGUCUCACUUUGCUGAAGAACAUUUUGUGUUUGUGAUUUCUUUGAGUGGGUUGCAAAGUAUGCCGAGGCCAUAUUAAGGAAUCACAAUUUGCCUGGAGCUUACCUCUCACCUUCCUAUCGUUAGUUUCUACGGCACCUGGAUUUUUCUUUAUUCUGGAAAAUAUAUAGUUUAAGUCGAGGGCCGGAUGUGAAAAUGUGUCCAGACGGAAGAGGCAGAUAUUUAAGAGACACUGAUGUCCCAAUCAAGGUGAAUAUAGCCUGAAACAUACAGGCUAAUAUUCUUCUGAUUUCCACUGCUACUUCACUACUGUACAUUUUUGUAUAAAAGAAAUAGAUAAAUAUCAAGUAUCACAACAAUCCCUUUUUUCUCAUUGGGUUGGGCUUUUAAAAGUAUAUUGUCUCUUGCAGUAUGUAUAUUGUGCCUAGAAGAUAAUAUAUUUUGCGUUGGACAUCAUGUCAUCAUUGUGCUGCUAUGUAUGUGUCUCCCGUUUGGCUGUAUGUACUUGUAUACCAAAAAUUUACUUUUGUUUUCCUAUUAACACUUAAGCAGUCUCUUUAUAAAAUAUUCUCAGUACAAAGUACACACACGAGACUUGCAGAACUAGUAUUUAGCAAUAGAAUAGUAAUCACACCUUUUUCCCUUGUUCAAGUGAGCAUUUGACAAAAAGAAAAGGACUUGUGAAAAGCGGUUGUGAAAAUGAGUUUACCUCGUAAUACUGCCCUGUAUUUGGCAAAGGGCAUGGCUCAUUGAAUGUACGUGGCUCUUUAUUUGGCAUUGACAACAGCUCAUUGUUCUCUGGUUAGGUGGAAGCAGACUUUAUCUGUCCCCGAUCUGAUACUGAGUUUGCCCAGUAAGACACUUGAGCCAAAGUAGUUUGUUCUCUCUUGCCUUUUCUAGCAGCUAAGUGUGUGUGUGUGUGUGUGUGUGUGUGUGUGUGUGUGUGUGUGUGUGUGUGUGUGUGUGUGUGUGUGUGUGUGUGUGUGUGUGUGUGUGUGUGUGUGUGUGCGCGCGUCCAUGAUCUCCCCUUUCAUUACUACCGACAGGCCAAGGCCCAAUGUAAGACUGUUACCUCGCUAAGAAAUGACUGCAAAGGACUGUUGACUCAACUUUUUUCCAGAUCGUAUUUAUUCUAUAUUUGUACUAUCUCAUUUUAAAAUCGUAAAACAUAAAUCAGUUUGUUUAGGUGAACAAGGGAAAAAAAUUAAGAUAAAACCCCAUUUCGGACAGGACAUGGCCUACUUUUUAUAUUUUUUCCAUGUAGAAAUUAACAUUUCUGUUCGCUUACAUGAAUUGCAAGUGAGCAGUAGACUCUUUAGCAGCAUCUUACGUGGUUGUGGAAUAGUUUAAAGUAAUAUUAGCGAACAUGUGGCGUACAUUGAGGGUAUCCUAUUGUGCAAUUAUGACUUCUGCUCUUAUCCGUGUAGCAUACAUGUAUAAGAGGAAAGAAAUUAGUGGUUUGAUAUUAAAAACAAUUGCAGCUUAUUAUGAGGCCAAAGGUGAUUAUUGUUGGUGUUAGUUAACAUGAUAAUAUUUAUCAGCGUUGAUAUCUAAACCUAGGCCUUUUUCAAUAGUAUGUCAGAACAGAAGAAAAUAUCCCAUUGUACAUUUGUUUUUCUUGUUGUGUAUUGUACUGGAAAUCCUGAUGCAUAUUCUACUGUAAAUGCUCACAGAUAAAUACAUUCACUUUAUUGGUGCCUAGUUGCUUGCACCCAUCAUGUCUUUUUGAUAUAGCUGUGUUGUAACGGUUGAUUUGGCAUUUUUAAAUGAAUAUUUUCUUGAUUUUGGGUUAUCCACUGUAUUACAUAAACAUUUGCAUCUCUUUAUUCAACCGAGACUUUGGAUCCUGUGUCAAAAAAUAAAAGGUAC